GACAGAGGUGCCGAGCGUUAGGCGGAAUCACUGGGCUUAAAGCGUGUGUAGGCGGACUUCUAAGUACCUUGUGAAAUCCCACGGCUCAACCGUGGAACUGCUUGGUAUACUGCGGGUCUUGAGCCACCUAGGGGCAAGUGGAACAAACGGUGGAGCGGUGAAAUGCGUAGAUAUCGUUUGGAACGCCAAUGGUGAAAACAACUUGCUGGGGGUGUGCUGACGCUGAGACACGAAAGCCAGGGGAGCAAACGGG
rnacentral:rRNA from 1 species